ACAUUGUUCAUGUGUUUACAGAUUUGUGCAGAAUUUGAGACAUACAGAAUUACCAUAGGCCCAUUAAAAUCAACAGUCUUUGCCAAACUGGAUCCGCACUACAGAACUUAUGAAGAUGUUUGCAUACUGAAGAAGAGUGCUUGGACAAAUACUGAAACCCUCUUGGUGCCCACUACACAGGCAGGGGUGUCCAGACCUGCUCUAGGAAAGCCAGUGUUCUCUGGAGUUUAGCUCUAACACACCUGCCUGGAACUUCUGACUAAUGAAAUUGAAGUAUCCAAAUGAAGACCCUAGCAGUAUGGAGUAUAUGAAUACAGAUGUUGCCAGCAAUCAGGAGGUGAUCCAGAAGACUCGUGGGAAUCUAUUUGAAGCUGCAGUCAUUGAAGACAGUCCAG